CAGCAGUCGCCGCGGGAAUACAGAGGGUGCGAGCGUUAAUCGGAUUUACUGGGCGUAAAGCGUGCGUAGGCGGCUAAUUGAGUCGGAUGUGAAAUCCCCGAGCUUAACUUGGGAAUUGCAUUCGAUACUGGUUAGCUAGAGUGUGGGAGAGGAUGGUAGAAUUCCAGGUGUAGCGGUGAAAUGCGUAGAGAUCUGGAGGAAUACCGAUGGCGAAGGCAGCCAUCUGGCCUAACACUGACGCUGAGGUACGAAAGCAUGGGGAGCAAACAGGAUUAGAUACCCCUGUAGUCCCUGUCUCUUAUAC
rnacentral:rRNA from 1 species